UUUCCCUCAGGAUAGCUGGCACUCGCUUGAGCGAGUCUCAUCUGGUAAAGCGAAUGAUUAGAGGCCUUGGGGCCGAAACGACCUCAACCUAUUCUCAAACUUUAAAUGGGUGAGAUCUCUGGCUUGCUUGAACGUUGAAGCCAUGAGAAAUGGAUCAGAGUGCCAAGUGGGCCAAUUUUGGUAAGCAGAACUGGCGCUGUGGGA
rnacentral:rRNA from 1 species